CUGCUGUGCUGGGCCACUGAGUGCCUGGAGCUCAAAUCAGAAAAGCUGCAAGAAUUAGCCAGUCCUAACAAGGUUCAAUUUCUGCCUGAAAUUAAAUUAGCUGGCAUCAGUUUGAAGAAAACCUACUAUAAUGGGGUUUUCCUGUUGAGAGUGACCAAAACAGAUCAUAGGAAGAAGCACAACAAAUAAGCAAAGAAAGAAAGAAAGGGCUAGGAAGAUAGAGCAGUUGCAUUCUUUAUGCUGAAGCAAGCUGCAAAAACGCUGAAGAAACAGUUUCUUGGGAGCAAAAUCAAGAAUAGAGGUAAAAUAAAUGUGGAUAACCUAAAUGUGGAUGGAGAUGUCAUCACAGCCCGAUGCGGUGGAUUUCACAGGCUCCCACUUCUGAAUAUGGUGAUAUGAGAGACUUUUUGGUAAGUAGCCGUGCGCAUGGGUGGCGAAGGCUCCGGGGAAAAGAUUUUGGGAUUUUUCAGGAUGACUGCGUGAUAGCAGGUAAUAUUUUCAAGUGAAGAUAGUAAACAAAAGGUGAACUCGGAGGGAAUGGUUUUCCUUAGCUCGCAGACCAAAGGAUCCAAGGAACAGGACAUAUUACUGUUCAGAGCCUCUGAACUUCGAGCAAUAGGGCUUCACAGCAGUGGAGAAAAGGGGGAGUUAAUCGGUGUUUUUACCCACCCUCGGUCUGGUAAAAGCAAGCUACCCUUUCUUCUCAUUCUGGGCAGGCGGCUGCAGCA